rnacentral:lncRNA from 1 species
UAGCUUUCAUAUAAUUAUAGGAAUGUUAUUAGGUCCUUAAAAUAAUUAUUUGGGCUAUUAAAAUGAGUUAUAUCGAGUAUUAUUAACACUUAAUAAUACUCGGACUAAUUAAUUUGUCGCGGUUAUCGUUAAACUAAACCCUAGUGGUAUUGGUACUAGGUUUUAUCGAAGGAAUAUCGUUUUGAGAGUAUCGAAGCGCUGUCCGAGUGCUGAGUCACCACCUAGUCAGGUGAGUGCAUAGUUACUUUCAGCUUACACAUAGAUAUGAAGUAUUUUAUAUAAACUACGUGCUAUGUGUGCACAUUAUCUGAAUACUUGCUGUCUAUGCUGGUUGAACGUUUUAUACAUGUUUUAAAGGACUUAAACUGUAUACGUAUUUUAUAUAUACGAAAAUGUUGGGUAUGAGAUGGGUAGAUGAAUGAUGAGAGAUAGAAGAUGACGUGAGUAUACAUUGGCAGCUAUAGACUUAGUGCCUAUGGGACAAACACCGGUAGCUAUGGACUUAGUACCUUUUAGACGUUGGUAGCUAUGGAUUUAGUACCUGUUGGGAAUUGGUAGCUAUGGACUUAGUACCUAUUAGUUAGACGCUGGUAGCUAAGGAUUUAGUACCUGUAGGAAUUGGUAGCUAUGGACUUAGUACCUGUUGAACAUUGGUAGCUAUGGACUUAGUACCUAUUAGAUAAAGACUGGUAGCUAUGGAUUUAGUACCCGAUGAAUAGACUAUAGCAGCUAUGGAAUUAGUGCUUUAUGAACGAACAUUGGCAGCUAUGGAUUUAGUGCCAGUCCCAUAACCCUGGAAGUAAGGGACUUCGGAAUAAACGAAUGCAGGAUAGAUGACUCUUAGGUUAAAUCCUUAAAGAGUAAAGAAGAUAAUGGGGAUGGGUAAUUGGGUUGAUUGUUUGAUUGAACAUAAUAAUUAUAUUAUUGUGGGUUGAAAACCCUAUGUACUCACCAGGUUUCCCAACCUGACCCACUCAGUUUAUGUAUAUCACAGGUGACGAAGUGAAGUGACAUUACACUGAGAGAUUUAAAAGAGAUGUAGAUCACUAGUGUAAAUCAUUGUAAGUCUGUUUAUGCUUAUGUUUCGGUAUUAACGAUGACAUCCCAAACAUUUUAAAAUGAAAUAAAUACGUUUCUUCGAAAAUGUUUUAAUAACGUAUUUACCAUGUUUUUCUGGGAACAAAUUCCGCAACCUUUUUAUAAAAUGAAGUACUCUGAUUUUUAUAAAGCAUAAACAAAAUCGGUCUUUUCUGGCCGUGAUUUUGGGGAUGUCACAGUUGGUAUCAGAGCAUUAGUUUAAGCGAACUAGGAAUAUGGAUUUAUUUCUAGACUUAAACUUAGAAUGCUAAGCGAUGAUUGUGAGGUGUGAGCACUAGCUUAUUUUAGGAAUUGUGCCUAAAAUGCUUUUAUGUGCUAAAUGCUUUGUGCAUGAUAUGUUGUUAAUUGUUCGGAUCUAUGGUCUGUUGCCGACCGGAUCUGGAAACCUUAUGUGUUUAGGAUUCUAAACGUACGACUACGGUAUUAGAACUAGCAUGUAAAUGUUUCGGAGUGAUAAGGAUGAUUUAAACGUCAAGUAAAGGUCUAAAUUCACCUUAUUCGGUGUAUAGAUCGAGAUGGUAAGGACCCGUAGCGGAAACGUAAACGCAAAUGGGAACAGGAACCAACCCCCAGUGGUUCAGCAAAUACCUGUUGUAGAAGAAGUUGCGCCUGAGCCAGUCACCAUGGCUGGAGUUCAAGCCAUGAUUCGGGCUAUGUUGGCUGAACAAAGGGAAGAAAUGAGACGGAUGUUGAAUAGGGACGAACCUACUAUGCCCAUUGAGCAACCCGAACUGAUUCCCGAGCAAUCUGAGGAAGGGAACUACAGCCGCCAAGUGAGUCAAGUUGGGACUCAAGGUGAGCAAAGGGAUGGCCCAGAAGGGAGAAACAACAAGGAUGGGCGGAUGUACAAGAACUUCUUGGGUGCGAAACCACCAAGCCUCUCAGGAAGCCCAAAGCCGGUUGAGAUUAUGGAUUGGAUCUCUGAGAUGGAGAUGGUGUUUGAGAGCUGCAGCUGUAAUGAGAAACAGAAGACUGUCUUUGCAGUAAGACAGCUGAAAACUGGAGUCUUGAGCUGGUGGAAGCUAUUGGCAGAUACGAUGCCACGAGGAGAAGCCUUAAGGAUGUCGUGGGAAGAGUUUUUGGAACAGUUGAAAAUGCAGUACUGCUCGGAGGUAGAUCUGAUAGACCUAAACAACGAGUUUCAGAACCUGAAGAAAGGGAAGAUGAGUGUUGAUGAGUAUGCCACCGCAUUUACCGAGAGGAUGAAGCUAUUUCCCUACUUGGUGCCUACUGAACUCUCCAAGAUUGAUAGGUUUGCUAACGGACUGCCCACUGACUUUGGUCCAAUGGUCAAAAUGGCAACUACCUUGAAAGCAGCUGUUAGGGCAGCUAAGAACGUAGAGGCCCAGAUAAGAGAAAAGGGUCUAGAAAAAGAUAAGGCAGGAGAGAAGCGAAAGUUUGAGGGAUCUUCGAGGUCGAACAAGGAAAGCAAAUUCUCAAAACUCGGAGGAGCAGAUGGAGGUGAAACAAGAUGGUGUGAUAAAUGCAAGAAGAAGCAUGGUGGGAAGUGCAACGAAGAAGUGACUUGUUACAAGUGUGGGAGGACGGGUCACUAUUCCAAAGACUGCACACAUAAUGACAAAGUAUGCUACGGAUGUGGAGGCAAGGGGCACAUGUCCAGAGACUGCCCAAGGAAAAAUAAAGCAGCAAGACCAGAAACGCCACCAAGGCCAAGGGCAUUUCACAUGAUCCUCGACGAAGCAGAGAACCAUGCGAGGAAUCAAGAAUGAGGACUUCUUACCCGAAGAUCGGAUUAUGCAGUAGCCAUAGUUUCAUAUGAUGUAGCCUAUUAGAGGCAUAGUCUAGGGUGAACUUGAACACCUAUGUAAUCGUUUCAAGAAUUAAUAUAAAACCUUCGUUUUGUUAUCUGAUGUGUUGAAUGAUUGUGUGAUUUGCUGCAUGGUGACUUGGGAAACUGCGAGACAAUACUUGGGACGAGUAUGAGUAGGUGUGAAUGGUAGUAGAGGCCUAUACUACCGGAAGCACAGGACUCACACUUGGAUCAGGGAAAGUCACAAGGUUACCAAGAAGCUAGUAAUUUAUUUCGUUUUAUUCAAGUGUAUUGUUACCAUCAUUUUGGUAAUGACUAAGAAGAUUGCUGAUAUUCUGACCCUAAUGGUCAUAUCCCAUUGAGUCCGACUACGAUGAAUAGGUUACGUGGUUUAGAGAACCAAGUUUGAUGUAGCGUCCGACUUAAACCAAACGGUUGAAAUCAAAGUGAUCAAUAAAAGUAUCGCACUCACUGUUAAUGAAGUUGAUAGCUAGAAAUGCCAAAUGUUAAAGUGUGAUUAUAUCACAUUAAAACAUGAAGGAAGGCAUAUCUUGUUUUAGAAUUUAACUCUAAGAGACCUAAGUCUAAGUGUUGCAACAUACGAUGAUAGGUCAUUAGAAUAUGAAACAUCGAUCUAUAGUAGUAAUAAAAGAACUUAUCUCAAGUCUGUAUCCAGCAAGGAUCGAGAUUGUGACUUGAAGGUCAUAAUUUGGAGUCUAACCUGAGGUAGAGAGCAGGUGCACGAUCGAGUACUCUUACAAUCAAUGAGUUUAAGAGAUAGAAUUGAAGGAAUGUAGAAGUUAUAAUUAUUACCUAGGAUGAAGAGAUGACGUAUGGAGUCAUUAUACGACCCUGUUUCGUUGAUGAUUCCGGGACGUAAUCAUCCUAAGGGGGAGAUAAUUGUAACGCCCGCAAAUCCGGGCUAGUCAAAUUAGAGGCAAUAGGGGUCGAAAACGACUUUUCGACAAAAGAUUAUUUAGAAUAAAUAAUCUUAACCAAGUUGUAUAGUAUGUUACAAGGUUUUCGUACAUAUAAAGAACGCCGAAAACCGAGUUAUAACGAAGAAGUUAUGACCUGUUGAAGUUUCGCGGCAGAACCGGCACGACACCGGGAAGCGUAAAUAGUGAAUUUACGAUAGAGAGAGAUUUAUCCUUAGCGAUCUAAACAAAAGUCGUAGAAUAUGUUAAACUAAGAACAUCGAUAAAAAGAACGCCCAAAUCUGACUUCGUAUGAAGAAGUUAUGAUUUUUCGAAGUUUCGGACUAGCAGUGUACAGCCCGAAAUUCGAAUAUUAGAUCGAGCGGUUUUUAGCCGACACGACCUAAACGAGAAUCGAAGAUCUCGUUGAGAGUAGCGUAAUGAGAAAAAGAUGGGCGAAAACGGAUGUCGGAUGAAGAAGUUAUGAGGAUUUAACGGACCAAUCGUGUCCCGGCCCGUUAAUAAUAUAAAAUUUAAAAUCGAGCCAAAAUUAGUCGACGAAGUCUAAACGAAAGUUGUAGAGUACGUUCCCACCUUCGCGUGGAUAUAAAGAACGUCAAAAACGGAGUUCGUAUGAGAAAGUUACGAAUUUUUAAAGUUUGUACUCGAUUUUGCGAGACCUGAUACGAAGUUGCUGACGUGGCGCUUUCCCAGCCGUCCGAUGAUAAUCGCUGAAGCCGCCUCGAAUGAGUGACGCGUCGCCCCUCGCUACGCCCAGCGUCCGAGCUCGGAUACGCACCGCGUACGCCUUGCACUCCUCGGUCCAACUUGAGCCACGUCUCCCCACCGAAGCUUCGACAUCUGGCAGUCUUAUCCGACGAACGCGCAGCGUACAACCUUCGGUACGCCCAUCGUAGACCGAAGGCUCAUACUAUAAAAGGAAGCGAAGGCUGCCGACUUUCUUGCACAUUUUCCACUCUCUCUCUAGAUUACUUUCUCUCUCUAAGGUCCCAAACCACUCCUAAGCCCUAGGUAAAACCCCUAGCACCCUAGGGAAGCCCCGAGGCUCCCGGAGUCCCGAGAAAAAGGAGUUUUUCGGUUUCGAAACGCUGCUCCAAUUAGGUCCCGGUUUUCGAUAAAAUUCGCUGUAAGUGUGCUACGCUUACACAAUUUUUAAUAUAGCUUUCAUAUAAUUAUAAGAAUGUUAUUAGGUCCUUAAAAUAAUUAUUUGGGCUAUUAAAAUGAGUUAUAUCGAGUAUUAUUAACACUUAAUAAUACUCGGACUAAUUAAUUUGUCGCGGUUAUCGUUAAACUAAACCCUAGUGGUAUUGGUACUAGGUUUUAUCGAAGGAAUAUCGUUUUGAGAGUAUCGAAGCGCUGUCCGAGU